GCUAUUUCCCAUAGUUCUUGAACGCCACAUUAGACUUGGCAAACCACGCCCCUUUCUGCAGACACACUGAACUCAGCUGCUGGAGAGACGAGCCGACGCAGAGAAGCCAAAGAUCCUUGGUUGCACAGUUAAGAUCUGGUGUUCUUCCUCUGGCCUUCGAGGUUGGUGGAUUCAAGAAUAUUCCAGAAGAAAACAGACUCUUUUCCUUACAUGAAUGAUCAUGCUGUGGGCUCUGACCCUGGACUGCAUGAAAUUCAUGGUGUCUUGUCAGAGGAUAGAGGCUGUAAUAGACAACUUUCUGUGAUGCAUCAAGGUGACAGCUCGAUGGAAAGGCUAACUGGAAAAUGCAGCCCCCCAACCAUCGAGCUACCCCCUGGCUCUGGUGCCCCACUGUGGGACUGUCGACACAUCUCAUACAUGCAGGGAUAAUGGGAUUGCAGAGCUUCAAAGACUAACCACAGGCUUGGAGAAGGCCGCCCCCUGCCGCCACUGAGGACAACUACACUAAUACAGACAAGAGCGCCUCAACAGUUACACACUCAAGAGUUGGGGUUUUGCCGUAUGCAACUAGCUACCAUCUCCAACGCUUGUGCAAAACAGAAAGAAAACUGGCAAGUCAGGAGCCGGACACGAGGGUGAACGGUGUGCCGAGAGCCAGAGAGACCCGCGGCGAUGGAAAGAGAAAGAGGAUGGGAUCACGUCGCCCACAGAGCCUCUCACCUCGACACAUUGAGCAGAGGGACUGAAGUUUGCCAAUAUGGCUGCUUUCAGGAAGUCACCCCCUCGGAGCUCUCCCUGUGGUGAAGCUUGAGGGAUCUCCUGCAUUGCACUGAAGGAGACACCAACCACAGCUUGAACCACCCCUCGGAUAAAUUCAGGUAAACUAGUCUAUGCAGCAGAGUGGAUGAGGAACACAAAAUAUCUCUCAGGGAAGAGGAAGCAGAAAAAAGGUCAAGGAAGAAGUCAUCAUCUUUGAAAAGGCGGAGGGAGGAAGUCACGUGAUGAAAAAAGAUGGGGACAGGUCUUCGCUCAGGCACGGCUCGGUUUCUGAUGGGGUCUCUUCCCAGUGCGCCCUGGGAAGUGCGGUCCUCAGCUCUCCAGACUCAUGAAGGCCACCACCUGCUCCAGCUUGAAGGCCAGCCUCUGUUUCCUGGCUCCAUCGUCCUGCUCCAGUGAGCACACAAUCUGCAGGCAGGACAGAGAGGUAAACACAAACACACGUUACUCUCAGGAUUCAGAGACACACAACUGCAGCUAGUAUGUUAGACUCUGGUUGUGUGAUAACUAAUCUAAGGUAUAACAAGAUAACAAGAUGAUGCAUUCAAGUUAUUAAAGUGUUUCUUUUACAUGUUUAGAGUCUUGUAACAAGUGUUAGUAGUAAUAGGUCAACUAUUACUUCAAAGUAUAUUAAAAGCAUCCUUAACAUGUCAUUGAGACAUUUAUAAACACUCUUUAAAAUUCAGUUCAGAGAAGUCUGUUUAGAAGAGAUGAAAUUGUACUCAUCAUCCUGAGAUAAACACUAGUCAGGCUUUUUUAAGAUGUAUACAUGCAUAGUUAAAGUUGCAGUUAACUCUAAAACAAGAGUGAUACCAAGUUGGAGACAUUUUUCAGGCAUUUUGUCUUCACAUAUAGUUGCAGUAGUGGCUGAAAAAGAGGCUCCUUGGUCAGAUUUGAAUCAGGAUCCCUGGUUUAAGAGCUCAACAUCUAAACCCCUUAGCUACUGAAACUGUGUUUCUUGUGAGUUGACUAAGAGCAGAGUAGAAUAAGAACUUCUUGAGGUCAAGGUUCAUGAAUUGUGAAGAUAAAAUGACGGGUAAAUCCACAAUUUCAAAAAGCAGAUAAAAGAAAAUCUACUCAUGUACUUCACUUAAGUUGUCAAGCUUGAGGCUUAAUGGAAGGAGAGAGUUAGUAAGACUUUAAAAUGUCUGUUACGUUAGAGAAUCAAAAGGCAUUCUGUCAAGUAGUUCAACAAACAAUUAUGAUGUUCUUUUAUAUUUUAUGAAAUGAAUAAAAAGCUAUAACAGAAA